AUUGAACGCUGGCGGCAGGCCUAACACAUGCAAGUCGAACGAGUGGCGGACGGGUGAGUAAUGUCUGGGAAACUGCCUGAUGGAGGGGGAUAACUACUGGAAACGGUAGCUAAUACCGCAUACCAUCAGAUGUGCCCAGAUGGGAUUAGCUUGUUGGUGGGGUAACGGCUCACCAAGGCGACGAUCUCUAGCUGGUCUGAGAGGAUGACCGGCCGACCUGUGGCGGCUACACGGUCCAGACUCCUACGUGAGGCAGCAGUGGGGAAUAUUGCACAAUGGGCGCGAGCCUGAUGCAGCCACGCCGCGUGUACGAAGAAGGCCUUCGGGUUGUAAGGUACUUUCGGCGGGGAGGCGUUACCCGCAGAAGAAGCACCGGCUAACUCCGUGCCAGCAGCCGCGAUAAUAC
rnacentral:rRNA from 1 species